rnacentral:rRNA from 1 species
UACGUAUGGGGCGAGCGUUAUCCGGAUUUACUGGGUGUAAAGGGAGCGCAGGCGGCCUGGCAAGCCUGAUGUGAAAUACCGGGGCCCAACCCCGGGGCUGCAUUGGGAACUGCCAGGCUGGAGUGCCGGAGAGGCAGGCGGAAUUCCUAGUGUAGCGGUGAAAUGCGUAGAUAUUAGGAGGAACACCAGUGGCGAAGGCGGCCUGCUGGACGGUGACUGACGCUGAGGCUCGAAAGCGUGGGGAGCAAACAGG